UAACUCGAUAAUCCACGUAUACCCAACCUUCUAUAGAUACUCAGCAUGUGUACUGCCGUUGUAAGCAUACCUUUAAAAGAAUAAGUAUGCCACUAUGAUUAAGAACAGUUAGCUCAUAUACAUCAGGUCAAAGUGCAGCUAAUAAGAAGGUGAUGAUGGGUUACAACCCCAAAAUAGACAAUCAACUAAGAAAUAAAAAAAUCUUAUAAAAGUGGACUUGGCCGUAAUUGAUUUAUAAAAUAAAAAAAUGAAUUAAAUCUAAGACAUGUACACAUCGCCCGUCACUCUACCCUAAAGGCUAGAUAAGUCGUAACAAAGUAGGUGUAAUGGAAAUUGCACCUGUCGAAGUAUAGCAUAUAGAAUGCUUUUUACCUACACUAAAAAUAAAGUUAAAUAACUUGCUUCGCCCACGCACCUAAAUCUUAUAAAUUAUAAAUAAUAAGAAUAAUUAAAUAAAUAUUAAUAAAAAUAAAGUACAGAAAUGGAAAAAAUAAUUAAUAAAAGUAAAUUUUAAGAAUUGUACCUCGUGCAUUAUGGUUUUACAAGAAAACAAUUAAAUAUAUAAAUCCCGAAUUCUUUAUGAGAUGUUAAAAUACUGCUAAGAGCUCAUUAAUAACUGUAGAAUAAGUUUUAAAAGAUAUGCUUACAGAGGCUACACACCACCCGCAUAAGAAUAUAGCUGGUUUUCGACAAAUAUUAUACAUUAAAACAUAUAAUUAUAUUAUAGUGUAAUAUUAUUGAGGAUAAGCCCAAUAAUAAGAGCAAUAAUAAAUAAAUUCUCACAUAUAUAAUAGGCCUAAAAUCAGCCAAUUUGAAUACUUUAUCGUAACAUAUAGUGAAAAGAUUUAUAAAAAUAAAUGCUAAGAGAAGUUGAAAUAAGCGGCACAUUAAAUAACCCAACUUUAUUAUGUAAAAAUAAGUAUUAUUAAAAUAAAAUCAACAAAGACCUAGAACCAACAAUAAAUAUAAAUAGUAAUAAUUAAUUAAGGAACUCGGCAAAAUAUUAUUUCGACUGUUUAACAAAAACAUUGUCUCAUGAACAUAAUAUGAGAUAAUACUGCC
rnacentral:rRNA from 1 species